rnacentral:rRNA from 1 species
UACGGAGGGUGCGAGCGUUGUUCGGAAUUACUGGGCGUAAAGGGCGUGCAGGCGGUUUGGUAAGUCAGAUGUGAAAGCCCUGGGCUCAACUCAGGAAGUGCAUUUGAAACUGCCAUUCUAGAGUAUGGGAGAGGAGAGUGGAAUUCCCAGUGUAGAGGUGAAAUUCGUAGAUAUUGGGAGGAACAUCCGUGGCGAAGGCGACUCUCUGGACCGAUACUGACGCUGAGACGCGAAAGCGUGGGGAGCAAACAGG